UUUAGCAUGAUGAUAACUUACUCAGCUCACUCAGAUCAAUUAUGAUAGAUAACUUUUUCCUAUCCAACAUUCAUCAAAAACCUGAUCUAAG
rnacentral:snoRNA from 1 species